rnacentral:tRNA from 3 species
GAGCCCUUAGCUCAAUCGGUAGAGCAACUGACUUUUAAUCAGUAGGUCGCGGGUUCGAAUCCCGCAGGGCUCACCA